AAGUCGUAACAAGGUUUCCCUAGGUGAACCUGCGGAAGGAUCAUUAACACGUAUCCAAACGUUAAACCCCCCCCGUGAACCUUCAUCGUGCUCUAGUGGGCCACUGAUAAACACAGCAAUUCCUGGUAAAUCAUUGUCUGAACAAGCCUUUGAGUCGCUAGUUCCAUCGGCAUUGUUUCCCCAAGCAGCCAGUGCGUGAAAGUGGCAACUGACUGUGCAAGGAUAACGCUUAACGAUUUUGCAGCCGCAACACGCGGGCAGAGCUUUGCCAAAGGGUCCCCAUGCCCCUUCCUUCUGCCGAUUUCACAUACAAAGCUCCAUUUUCAAUUAUGGAUGGGGUAAAACCGAACAACUGUUAACAAUGGAUAUCUUGGUUCUC
rnacentral:misc_RNA from 1 species